GCUCCCGGCUCCCGGCUGCGGAAUCGCCCGCCCGCCUGCUCCCCUCGGUGGGCUCUCGCCAAACCAAUUGCCUCCUCUGGCCGGCUCCGCCCCCUCGCUGCCAUCCCUCAACUGGCCCUCAGGACCAAUGGCAACAAUGGGCUAGUCCCGCCCCCUCGAUUCCCCCGGGGCCAAUCUCCUUCUCCUGAGGACCCGUUCAAGUAACCCCGCCCCUCUCGUGCGGCAAAGCUGCAGCCAAAGUUUAUCCCACUGCGCGGUUGCUCCUGACGAUGGCGAGGUUGUGCCCAGGCUCCCGCCGCCCCCCAACCCCCCCGCACGAAGUUACAGUGAUUUCAAGGCUGCAGCUCACCUGCUCUGCCGACCCCCCACGCGACCUGUUCUUUUGAAUGUUUUAUUUUUAAGUAAUCUCUACACCCAACGUGGGGCUCAAACUCAUAAUCCCAACCAAGAUCAAGAGUCACAUGCUUCACCAGCUGAGCCAGCCAGUUAAAGAACAGAAUGUCCUGGGUUUUUCUUCCUGAACUAUCUGAGUGGAAGCUGGCUGACCUGUGGAGAGUCCCAUGGAGCAAGGAGCUGAGGGAGCCUCCGGGACAACAGCCAUGGAGGUACUGAGGCCCUGUCAGCAACUCCUGAGGAACUAAAUCCUGCUAACAACCAUGUGAUCAGGCUGGGAAGCAGACGCUCCCCAGGCUGAGCCUUCAGAUUGGAGCUUUGUGAGAGACCGAGCCAGAAGCACCCAGCUAGGCUGUGCCCAGAUUCCUGACACACAAAAACUGAUUUAAUAAAUGUUUGUUCUGA